CCCAGGGUGCAAGCCCCGGGCCACACAUCCGCCUGCAGUGCUGGCAGCCUCUUUGGGCACCAGACAUGAAAUUCAACAGCAACCGCCAGUAGAUUAAACCAAUUGAACGUCUGAAGCUGUGGUGCCGGCACAGGAGUCUCUGGUUUCGGGGCAUCCCGUGCUUCUUUAAGCAGGCGGGUUACCCUUG
rnacentral:ncRNA from 1 species